UCACUUAUCUUUAUGUAUCUUAAUUUGAAGAUGAUGAUUCAAUUGAUGAUAUAUUAGAAAUCUUUUUCUAAUUAUCAUCCUACUUUGGUCAAAGACUUCUAGAAUCACUGUCCUAUAAGAUCACAUAGGAUGUUCACUCUCCUUAUUAGGAGUGACCGAUCCCUUAUUGAUCACUCACAAUCUUUAUGCACUUUUUAUCAUAUCCAGAGAACCCCACACAAGGAUCAGAGAAUCAAAUUAGGUAAUGAACUAAAAUAUAGAUCCAAAUACACAAGGUACCAUGAUGACCUCAGGCCUA
rnacentral:lncRNA from 1 species